AGAGUUUGAUCCUGGCUCAGGAUGAACGCUGGCGAUGUGGAUAAGGCAUGCAAGUCGAACGCUCAAGUUUACUUGAGAGUGGCAAACGGGGUAGUAACACGUAGAAACUUACCCUUAAGACAUGAAUAACUCCGAGAAAUCGGUGCUAAUACAUGAUAUCCCUACGGGGGAAAGUCUUGUCUUUAUGACAAGGUGCUUAAGGAGAGGUCUGCGGAGUAUCAGCUUGUUGGUAGUGUAAAGGACUACCAAGGCUAUGACGCUUAGGGGAGGUGAGAGCCUGACCCCCACCAUUGGAACUGAGACACGGUCCAAACACCUACGGGUGGCUGCAGUCGAGAAUCUUCCGCAAUGCACGAAAGUGUGACGGAGCGACAUCGCGUGAUGGAUGAAGUCCUUAGGGGCGUAAACAUCUUUUAUAAAGGAGGAAGUUUAUUGACGUUACUUUAUGAAUAAGGG
rnacentral:rRNA from 1 species